AUGGGUUUCUGGAUGGAAAGCACACCAUAUUUGAGUUUUCAUGGUUUUCCUAGAGAUAAAUGUCUGAGGAAGAAGUGGAUACAUGCUAUUAGACGAGAAGAAGGACCAAAGUUUACGAUCAUUAGAGGCAGCACAUUUGUCUGCAGCUGGCACUUUAUCAGUGAUGAUUACACUGCCACUACUGGUCAUAAACGCCUCAGAAAAGGGACGGUCCCGUCCCGCUUUAUUUUGAACAACUGGGGAGAAACUUCACAUGAGUCUGUUUAUGAAGGAGUUCAAACCAUACCAUCAGACGACAGCCAAGACGCUGAAGUAGUUUCUGAGGUGACAGCUGAAGCAGAUCAUUAUUAUGCAGUCACUCCUCUUCCAGGAUCACUGCCCAUAUGGAUGAGCAGAGAGCAAGUGAAUGCCACCAUGCCAGACAAAUUUAGGUAGUUUUGUCCCGAGGUGAGGGUCUUCAUUGACUUCACAGAGAUAAGAUGCUGGAAUCCAUCUUCACUCACGCUCCAGUCUGAGGUGUUCUCAUCAUAUAAAAACACCACUACCUUUAAAGAGCAGUUACUUUUGUUUCCAGACUUGCUGGAGCCUGGUGAUGUCUGUAUGGCUGACAAAGAAUUCACCAUUAAGAAGAUGCUUAUUUUUUAUUUGUUAUGUGCUGUUUUACCAUGAUCUGUCUGAAUACUUGAUUCUUAUUGGCUGGAAGUGUGCAGUAAAACAGUUUAAUCCACAGGUAGUUCCAGUCAGUUUUAAUCAUCGUUCUAUAUUAAUGACCUACUGUCUCACCCGCACCUCAGUUCCCCGUCAAGCCUCCAACAGGAACAAACUCCUCAAAGUUGUCUCCAAGCUCCUGCAAGCCAGACGUAACGUACUCACCUUAGUGUUACUGUAACCUGUGUUCUUGUUCUGCUGUUCCCAGGACCGUGGAUCAGCGUGCAACAUCAAGUGAUUCGGCGGUCGCUGUAGUCUCCUGUGAUUACCCCGAGCUGGUUCUGUCUUUGGCUUAUAAGAAGCAAGAGAACUUUACUGAGCAAUCCUUGACUGUGGCUUUGACAUCUGUGUUCCUGUCAAACUCACCUGUGUGAUUCCCCUGCUCCAUGUGAAUUACAUACAAGCCUGCACUAGAAGAUCGGAGCUUCUAUAGUUUUAUACGCUGCUUGAUUAUUGUGGUUUGUAAAAUAUACAUGCACCAUAUUCACUGCAGCAAUUGUAUCAAUAAUGUGAGCGUACGAGUUUCUUAAUUUGUGAUCUGUAGAAUAGGAUUUGUGCAUCUGCAAUGAAGAAUUUGAGAAGGUGUAACUGUUGUGUUGUGUUUGUGGGAGAGAAAGAAAGUCUACAGGUUUGCAACUCUUAAAACAUUUCUCUCUCACUUCAAACUUACUGAUACACAUGUGGCUUUUCUCUACAACUACAAACACACUGUCACAGGUGUUCAGUCGUUUUGACUCAAAAAUACCUUCAGAAAAUCCUCCCCUUCACACACACACACACACACACACACACAGACUGAUUUACACAAAACCUGAAGAUCAUAAAUACACUGAAACUAUAACAGGUGAACAGAAUGAGUAACUAAACAGACUGAGGUCAAACGACAACUAAAACACAAUGAAUAAAAAAAUUAGACAAGUGUUACAGUUGCGUCAAUAUUUGCAAAGCCCUUUUUCCAUUUUCUCUCUGCAUUUUGCAGGUUGUAAUUCUCUUCCUUCAGUCCAUUAUUCACUCACUUUAAUGAGGCUGGACUUUAAAGGAACCGUCAGUCAUUUUGGGGUAAAAUCUGGGCUUGGUGUGUAAGAAAUUUUUAAAUAACAUGUAUAUUGUUUCAUAUAGUGAUGACUUAUAUUUGGUGAUGUAUCGAUCACACUGAUGCUAGAAAGUGUUUAUCAAGAAGAUGUACUUGUUAGAUCAUAUCCUGAUUUCUACAGUCAGACUAUUGUUCAUAUUCUCAGUCAA
rnacentral:lncRNA from 1 species